CAAGUUGCCAUAUGCACUGAAGAUUCAGUAAAUGAAAUACCAGUGCAUGCUGCUCUGUGCCACUCAGUGAUGUAAAUGUUGAGCACAAAAUUCUCCCCUUCACAUGAUGAAGAUGCAAUCCCUCUGUGUUGAUACAGUUAUGGUGCAGCUGAGGAGACAGGCUGUGUAUAACAUUUGGGAUUGAGGAACUUAGAGAAGGCUGCUGAACUGUGUUGGGAAUAAAUGGGCUGGUAAUGUUUAGCUCAGAAGUAGAAGCGGGAGGCUAAAAUCCCUAUAACUCCUUCCUAAAUUUUCUUGUCCAGUAAAGGUACAUCAGCCUGCAAGACCUCAAACAUGAGAAAAUGAAGAAUAAAUUAAUAUCAUAUUACCUAGGUUUGCUCUUAAACGCUCCUGAGAUCAGCACCAGACAACUGCCAUAUCCUUUCCCAAAAGAGCAGCAGACUUCAGCAAAUCUAUAACGUAGAACUUAACUCUCUGUUCCUUUCCCACAAUUUUUUUAUCUUAAAGUGACUGAAAGCCAUAAACUAUGCCUGAAGAAUGUGAUCUUAGUAAGAGUUCAAAGAAUUUAAUAGAAUUUUCAAGAAUCUGAAUCUGAAAAAUUACAAGAAUAUUUUUCCAUCCUCUUGCUAUAUUCUUGCUAUUUUUGUAGUCCUGAAGUUAAUAGAAACAACCCACUUGAUGUAUUCAUUGUGAAGCUCACACUCAGUACACUUGGGUACAAUUAAUACUCAGAAUUACCACUGCCAGAAGACACAUAUCAAAUAAUAAAGAACAGUAUGUGCAAGAUGUGAUGUCUCUGCUUGCACAGAAACUUCUUCACUGGAUUGAGCCAUUCCUGCUGUCUCUGAGGAGAGAUGAAAUUUAACCUGUGCCAAAUACCAGAGAGGACUACUUUAGCUUUUUAAGGUGAAUAUCAAAUACAUCUUAAGAUGCAGACUGUCUGAAUCAAACCAGAAGCAAUGAUCUUUUUCUUCCUGCAUGUCUGGAUCACUGUCAGUGUUAAGUGAAUUAAAUGCAUAAUUUAUUAAAUGGUCUCUCUGAGCACUGAAAUCUGUCAGAACUUAAACAGAUUCAGUUUGCCAUCAUUAUUUUAUAAGGAGAGGUUAAUUUUAAUUAUUUUCUUCCUUUUUCUCUUCAAUGCUGUCCACAGGAUAAUUUUUACAGCCAUUCUUCAACUGUUCUUUUAUAAGGGGAAACUGAAGUGUGUUUUAUUCCCAGGACACAAGAUCCAGGUUUUACCAGUCCUACCUCAUAAGCACUUGAGGCAAGAACUCCCAAACAUUUUGCUUCUAUAUGACCUUCUUCCAUCAUCUGCAACACUUCUAACCAUACUUAUUAGUUGGACAGAGACAGUUCUACAGAGUGGGCAAAAAAUGUACCUUGUAACAUCUACUUGCUCCUCUGAAGCUCUGUAAAUCCCUCUAAGGACAGCCCCUCACCCCCAACUUCACAGAUGAAGAAAUUAAUCUUGAAGACUUUUAAACCAUCCCAUUGUGGUGCCAGAGAAAUAUCAAUGCCAACAGUGAGGAAAGCAACACAAGAAUGAGACAAGGGAAUAAUAAACCACUCUUUUUCAGCAACAUCCCAGUACUGUGAAAGUACACCAGAGAACGUUCAAGUACCAAGAGGGACAUAAAGAGGAUCUCUGUGAAAACUCCUUUCUCCAUCAGAGGACUGAAAUAUUUCAUUGCAAUCAGUGCAGGUGCCUGAAGGCACCAAGAGGCCUUAAUUGUCCAGACCUGCCUCACCAGCGACCCUCAUUCGUGCACCCAUUCCCUUGGAUCUGGGGACAUCUAGACCAGGACUGAGCCAGGUGCACUUCUCAGAGGUACAACUCUUCCCAGUCCUGCUCCUGGCUGUUCCUUCACUGUCAUUAGGAUUUCCCAGACUAACUUCUGGUCUGACUUGCUACCUCACCUUUUUCUGGAUUGCUGACUGCUGGAUGGUCCUUCCUGUCCAGCAGUGAGGAUUCACUCCCAGAUUCCCCACUCCUGUGGACCAGCCCCAAAACCCAUAUUGGAGCAACAUGGAGGUAGCUGUCCCUCCAGUAAAUACAGUCUUAUUACCCAUCUCAUUAAUGUGACCUUUCUUGAUUUUGAGAUCCUUAUUCACUGUUACAUGUGAAAAAAACCCAAAAAACCAAAAACCUUUCAGGAAAAGAAAGAAAAAUAUACAUUAUUUUUGAAGUCUUUGAUUUGUUAAAAUGAGCUUUUCAUCCUCACUUUACAUAAAAUAUUGAUGACAGUAUAUGAAAGCAAAAUACGAUCUUUAAGCUCUUUGAAAUUGCAAAAGAGAUUUUAAGUUAUUUUUACAUAAAUCCAAAAUGAAAAGGAAUUGUAAGUUAUUAGUGACCUUGUGCAAAUGUGCAUUAAAAGGCUUUCGUGCAAACUGCAUAGAAAUUACAAAGAAUUAUAUCAUCUUAGAACUUUUAUAUGUGAGCAUGUUUAUGGAUAGCUUAAGAAUGUCUAUAUUCUACCUUCCAAUUUUGUGAUGAAUAGAAUUCUAGUAAAAGAAAGAAAAUGCUAUUAAUAUUUGCUAAACUUGAAAACUGUUCAUGUCCUAUUUUCCCUCAUUGCAAGUAUUUAAUGUCACCUUUAGCCAAAACUAGUAAAGACAAUAUAGUCUAUGUAAAGAUAUAGAAUGAAUCAAAUUUAAUUCUUAAUAAAACCCACUAAUUUUUGUAUGUAAAAUUGUAGGAGAAGGGAAAAUAUGAAUAAAAUUGUUGAAGCUUUG